AGCUGACACAGAUGGUGGGAGGUGCUCGUGCCUCUCACGGUGAUCAGAAACAUCACCGUUGCAGGUGACGCCACUUCACUUAACACUGGGUGUGGGCGGAUUCAUCCGCUCUGAAAAUUACGUCUUUGGUGGACAUCAGCGUGGACUUGGGUUGUCUUUUCACUUUCUUGCUAAUGUCCUUGGAUGAUCCACAACUUUUCCAAAGCAGGCCAAGCUAUAAAUAAAGGGUGGACUGACCUUGUCAACUGUUAAAUUGGAGCCGUGGUGCGUUGCCUAGAACAUUGCGGAUGACCCCGAGCAGCACAGCAGAUCAACGGCUGAGAAAGAGCUCAUUCAGCUCAUCUAACUAGGAUGCUGUCCUGCCAGAGCCCUGGGGGUUCUCGUCUCCUGGGGCAAAAGCAGCAUGCAACCCUUAUGAACCCAUCUUGGAAGGCAUUCGGGGAGCCCAAGACAAGACCAUUGGGAGCCUCAGGGUCACUUGUGGGGGUCUCUGUGCUGGACGGCUGUACCUCUCAUGAAAUGGACAACUGACCAUAAGAAGGAGGUUAGCCUUUGUGGCUUGGGCAUCCAGCCUUUCAGAGAUAUGAAACCACACACGUCUUCAGAGUGAACAGCUGCUCACCCCGAUGUGCUCAAGGGGUGCAGGAUGUGGACACAUCCUACUGAAUGAGCCAGACAACGUAACUGGAUCUGUCCAGAACACCACGAUGGGUGACAUUGCCAUCUGCAGCAGUGCUGUACUUCCUCCCGCCAAUUUGUAAAGUGCAGACAGGAUGCUGGAUCAACUGGCUGCUGCUGAGGCCAGUGACCUCUAGGGCGUAUUCCCACGUUCCUUUGCAGUAGCUGCUCACCUUUGUAAGCAUGUGAGUUAUUCGUGCUGUCUGUUGUGAUCCUAAGGAAUCCAAUGGUCAGGACCAGAACUUCUGAAGUACAGCCCAGCAUUGCCGUCUGGCAUCCCCAGAAAGCAGAUUUUGAGAUUGGCAUGAUGGCCGUUAAGCAGGGCGUUCUCUCUGGAGCAAUGUCUAGCCGGGGUCGGAGUGGGGAGAGAGAGAGGGGGGCUGCUGAGAAUAUCACAGAGAGAUGGCAGCCUUUCUGCAGCAUAGGCCUAAGUGCACACUCACCUGGCUAUCACUGAGAGGACUCUCUGUUCAACAGGGCCACUCAGGGCUUCCCCUGCAUGGAGAUCUGAGUGUCCAGGGAGGGGACGUGGUGAGCAUUUCUCUGGUCAAAGUGUGCAAAGCAAAAUCUGCCCCAUUCCUGCCAAAGUGGUUGACAUGGAGGAAAGGGGAGUGCCAGUUCUGUAGGCUGAGGUGGUGGCUGUUAGAACUGCUCCUAGGCUAGUUGGUGUUCUGGAAGGUUCCCCUCUAUGUGAGAUGAAAGAGCAUAUCUUUAAGAGCUGCAACUUUGAAGCUCUAAUAUAGAAUGCUUUUGGUGGCAAGCAUUACUUCGGAAAGGGCUUGAAGACCCCUGAAGAUCCUUGGUGGCCUAGGCAGUUCCUUUAUUGCCAGGGCUGUGCAGGACUAAGCUUCAACAGCGCCACCAUGUGACAAGAAGCAAUUGCAGUGGUGCAUUGAGGGUUUUCUUUUGCACUGAGAACUCAAGUCCCACUUUCACCCUUGGACCUGGUAAAUCUUUGGGGUUCAUGGACAAUUCUGAGGAGGAGAUACUUAAGAGAGUGAUGUUAGAAUUUGAUGUUUUGGUUUAUUGUAUCAGAAAAUAAAAGAAAUUGGAUUUA
rnacentral:lncRNA from 1 species